rnacentral:rRNA from 1 species
UACGAAGGGGGCUAGCGUUGCUCGGAAUCACUGGGCGUAAAGGGUGCGUAGGCGGGUCUUUAAGUCAGGGGUGAAAUCCUGGAGCUCAACUCCAGAACUGCCUUUGAUACUGAAGAUCUUGAGUUCGGGAGAGGUGAGUGGAACUGCGAGUGUAGAGGUGAAAUUCGUAGAUAUUCGCAAGAACACCAGUGGCGAAGGCGGCUCACUGGCCCGGUACUCGGACGCUGACGGUGCGAAAGCGUGGGG